rnacentral:rRNA from 1 species
CUCAACGUCGAAGUGCUCCCGAACUGUGAGCUUGAAUGACUCUGCCGUGGGAGGAAUGUGUAGUGUAGCGGUGAAAUGCUUAGAGAUUACACAGAACACCGAUUGCGAAGGCAUCUCACGAAGGGUUGAUUGACGCUGAGGCACGAAAGCGUGGGGAUCAAACAGGAUUAGAUACCCUGGUAGUCCACGCAGUAAACGAUGAUGGCUAACCGCUGGGUAAUACUAUUCAGUGGCCAAGCGAAAGCGAUAAGCCAUCCMCCUGGGGAGUACGACCGCAAGGUUGAAACUCAAAGGAAUUGACGGGGGCCCGCACAAGCGGAGGAACAUGUGGUUUAAUUCGAUGAUACGCGAGGAACCUUACCCGGGCUCGAACGGCUGGUGAAGAGAUCCAGAGAUGGUGACGUCCUUCGGGACACCAGUCGAGGUGCUGCAUGGUUGUCGUCAGCUCGUGCCGUGAGGUGUCGGCUCAAGUGCCAUAACGAGCGCAACCCUUGCCGUCAGUUACCAUCAAGUAGUGUUGGGGACUCUGGCGGGACUGCCACCGCAAGGUGUGAGGAAGGGGGGGAUGACGUCAAAUCAGCACGGCCCUUACGUCCGGGGCGACACACGUGUUACAAUGGCGGCCACAGAGGGGCACUACCUGGCGACAGGAUGGGAAUCUCGAAAAGCCGUCUCAGUCCGGAUCGGAGUCUGCAACCCGACUCCGUGAAGCUGGAUUCGCUAGUAAUCGCGCAUCAGCCAUGGCGCGGUGAAUACGUUCCCGGGCCUUGUACACACCGCCCGUCAAGCCAUG